UGAGCUCACACUCAGGCUCACUCAGCUCUGCACACAGCAGGGACACAAAACAAAUCCUUCUCCUGCUGCACACCAAGGACAGCUGGGACAAGGGUUCAGCCCCAAAGCACAAACAAGGGGGGCUGAGGGAGGAACAAGAAGGAUGGGACUGCAUCACCUGGGGCUGCAAUGGGACAAUUCAACUCCAAAAUGCAAAUGGACCCAAACUGAUCCAAGUGUGAGACCUGGUGACCCUUUGUCCAUUUUGUGCCCAUUUUGGGUCCAUUUUGUGCCCACUUUGGGUCCAUUUUGUGUCCAUUUUGGGUCCCCCUUGGCUGCAGCCCUGGCCAGGCUCUUGUCCUGCCCAAGGUGUGUCCUAAAGGCCUUUCAAUAAAUCUCUGCUUUAUUCUCCAGCUCUGCCCAGUCUCUGCUCCAGCUCAGAGCAUCAGCAGCACUGCAAGCAGCAUCCCCCAGUAACUCUUGCUGACUUCCCCCUGCCUGAGCUCCCGACCUUUUCCCGAGGGCUCAGCCCCUUCUGCUCCAUUUGGGCUCAUCUGUCAGAAGCAGCUUGGCUCUUCCAGAGCUGCACGAUGAGAAGCUGCUGAGCUGAAGGUUUCUGUGCUCCCUCCUCUCCCUGAAGGCAGGAGCUGCAGGUAGCAGUGGAGUGCCCUGAGUUUCCCAGCUGGAGUCAAAAAUUGCUGCUGGAAAUUCCAAAUUGUUCUCUCCUUGCUCACCUCGAGGGACUGGGGUUGCUACUGCAAUAUUCCUGAGUAAAAUCAGAGUUUGGAAUGAAGUUCACACUUUCCUAAUGCCCAGAAUGACAAAAGGAUAAGUAGAGUUAAGGCAGUGGAGUGGCUGCUGUGAAAUCAUCUGAUCCCUGCAGUCCUUCGAGGAAAGAAAAGGGAAAUCCAAACCAGCUGCAGGAGCUCAGAGGUUCCUUCUGUUCUACAAAAUCCACACUGCUAAAGACAUCUAUGGAUCGUGAGAAUGAAAAACUCCUGACUUUUUUAUUUAUAGCCCCCUCUGAUGUAAACAGCAUCCCCCGGAUUCUCGUACGCUCCCGGUACGUGCGGGGCUGUGGGGGAGUGCAGGGUUUGUUUUGGUGCCCAACACAAGCAGCUGAGCACAGGGAGGAAAGGAAAAGCUCCUGUGCCAAAGGCAGGCAGGGGGAACCAGCUGUGGAGAGAUGGGGAAACACUGCAGAGACGCUGGAAAAGUUCAAGUGCAGCGCUGGAAUCCCGCCAGCAGCGCCCAGGAAAAUCCAGGAAUGAAUCCAGAGGAAGAUACUCCAGCACAGGGAGGAGGAUCAGCACAUUCUGAGAGUUUACAAACAAACCCUGUGUGGCUGCUGGAGCUCCAUCCCAAAUGUCCCAUCCACUGGUCUGCACAGAAAUCAAAAUAACCCUGCCAAGGACAAGGUCGGGAAGAUCGAGUGAAAAGCCAUAAAAGAGAAGAAUCCUCACCUCCUCCUGCCUUCAGCUUCACCCUGGUGUGGACAUCACAUUUAUUUGUGUGCUGUGUGGGCUGGGGCACACCAAAGGCACGAGUUCUCCAGUAUUUUAUCCCUAAUGCUGGCCAAUAAUUGGUGCCAAGGAAAUAAAUAAAGGGAAAAACCCAAUAACAGGAUUUCUCAAUUGCCAAGUCCCAGAGGAAAUUCUUGGAAAACAGUCCGGCAAGGAAGAACAUCACAACUUUCCCUGGCAGAAAUGGUGAGAUGUUCAUUGAGCUGUACAGAGAGCUGAAGCAGGCAUCCAAUCCAGUGUUUCUCUUCCUGGUGGAAUCUCUCUGGUGGUUUCCUGCUGACAUUGGUUUUCUUGGAAAAAACCACUUUGGUUUUGCUGCAUCUCCUCGCUCACUUAAACUCCUGAGAAUUGUCAAAUUUGCUGCUUCGUGGUGACUUCACAAGUUUCCACCUUCCCCUUCUCCAGGGGGAGGCAGGAAGAUGAACAUCCCUCUGCUGAACCUAAAAUCAAUCUCAGUGACUGUGAACACAACUAAACUUUGGUUUUAUUCCAGUAGGAAAACCCCAAAACCUCUCUGAUCCAAAAGGACUCUCUAAUUAAUCUCAGCAUCCUUUUUCUACAUUUCCUUUCAGUAAGUGGUAGACAUUCAUUUUAAA